UGCUUAAGUGGAGCCUAGCAGAGGUGAUG
rnacentral:piRNA from 2 species